UACGGGGGGGGCAAGCGUUGUUCGGAAUUACUGGGCGUAAAGGGCGCGUAGGCGGCCCACUAAGUCAGACGUGAAAUCCCUCGGCUCAACCGGGGAACUGCGUCUGAUACUGGAGGGCUUGAAUUCGGGAGAGGGAUGCGGAAUUCCAGGUGUAGCGGUGAAAUGCGUAGAUAUCUGGAGGAACACCGGUGGCGAAGGCGGCAUCCUGGACCGAUAUUGACGCUGAGGCGCGAAAGCCAGGGGAG
rnacentral:rRNA from 1 species